AACCAAGAAGCAGUGAAUCAGAAAAAGGGAGAAUGAUUACAGAGGAUUACUGAGAAAAGUGGACUGUAAGCAUUUCUCUGUUUAUAGCUGGCUGCCUGUUUGCUUUCUGAGUGAGAACACUGGGAUCAUUUUCAUCAUGCCAACAGUGGUGGUAAGGGGUGUAUCUCUUUCCAUGACCUGACCUGUGUCUAUCGAGGGGUCUGAAGAAUACCAGCAUAAGCACCUAGAAGCCUAUGGUUUGACAAUGCUAUUUGAGCACAUGGCCACAAAUUACAAGCUUGAAUUUACAGCCUUGGUAGUUUUUUCAUCACUUUGGGAGCUGAUGGUCCCCUUCACAAGGAAUUAUAAUACCUUACAGGAAGCACUAAGUAAUAUGGAUGAUUAUGACAAAACCUGCUUGGAAUCUGCAUCAGUUGGUGUUUGCAAUAUCGUUCAGCAAGAGUGGGGUGGUGCAAUUCUUUGCCAGGUUGUUCUGGUGACAGAUGGCUGUCUUGGCAUUGGUAGAGGGUCACUAUGACAUUCCCUAGCUACUCAAAAUCAACAAAGUGAGAACAACAGGUUUCCACUACCUUUUCCUUUCCCGUCUAAGUUAUAUAUCAUGUGCAUGGCAAAUUUGGAGGAGCUUCAGAGCACCGAUUCCUUAGAAUGCCUUGAACGUCUCAUAGAUUUAAACAAUGGUGAGGGGAAGAUUUUUACUAUUGAUGGUCCCCUGUGUUUGAAAAAUGUACAGUCUAUGUUUGGAAAACUGAUAGACCUGGCAUAUACACCUUUCCAUGCUGUUCUCAAAUGUGGUCAUCUAACCGCUGAUGUACAAGUCUUCCCCAGGCCAUAACCUUUUGUUGUAGAUGAAGAAAUUUAUCCUAUCCCUAAAGUCAUUAAUACAGAUUUGGAAAUAGUGGGAUUUAUUGAUAUAGCCAAUAUUUCAAGUCCCCCAGUUCUGUCCAGACAUCUGGUCUUACCUGUAGCACUUAACAAAGAAGGCAAUGAGGUGGGUACUGGCAUCACUGAUGACAAUGAAGAUGAAAAUUCAGCCAAUCAGAUUGCAGGCGAAAUACCCAACUUUUGUGUCCUGCUUCAUGGCAAUCUAAAAGUAGAAAGAAUGGUGACAAUUGUUCAGUUAGGUCCUGAAUGGCAUGGAAUGCUGUACUCCUAAGUGACAGCAAGAAGAAAUCAAAUCUCAUGAUGUCUCUUUGAGCCUGGCCCAGAACCUCUCCUAUGGCUAGGGAAAAUUGCACAGUUGGGUCCUAUUUCAGAUGCUAAAGAAAACCCUUAUGGUGAGGAUGACAAUAAGAGCCCAUUUCCCCUGCAGCCCCCAAACAAACACAGUUAUGCCCAGAAUGUGACUGUCUGGAUCAAACCUAGUGGCCUGCAGACAGAUGUACAGAAGAUUUUGAGAAAUGCAAGGAAGCUACCUGAAAAAACACUGACAGUCUAUAAGGAGCUAAACAAUUUACAAAAGGCUGCGUUGGCCUUCAGUUUCCUGGACCUGCUGAAAGGGAUGGCUGACAUGCUGGAAAGAGAGUACACACUGCUGCCCGAUACUGCCUACCCCAAUGCUGCAUUCCAGCUGACCUAUACUGCCCAGCAGCUCAAGCUGGCCAGUAUGGGCACCUCCGAGCAUGCAGCUUAUGACCAGAAUGUCACACCUUUGCAUACACACUUUUCUGGGAGCAGCAUGGACAAAAUGUGA